UGUGGACCAGUGGGGUCCCUCGGCCUGGCCUGCGCCCUCUCACAAUCUGGGACUGCUUGGGGGAUGUUGGAGAGCCAGUUUCUGCCCGAUCCUGCAGGCCAGGCCUAGGGACCCCACUGGUGCAUG
rfam:Myotis brandtii contig220410, whole genome shotgun sequence.